AUGGAGAGUGCUUGAAGUCACUAGAGGGAAUCUGGGGAUUAUAGGAAAGUGUUUAGAAAAAUUGGAAAAGGUCAAAAUCUUAAGAGAAUUCUGGAAAAUCUUUAGAAACUCUUUUUGGGAUUUCGGCGGCAUCUUCAAAGCUAGAGCACGAUUGAUACAACACAGAUGUCAUAGUGAGCACCUAACAUCUCCGAAAGAGGGCCCUGGAAAGGUUUAGAAAACUCAAAAUUGCAUAGAAAAGCGACCAAAAGACCCUUCCAAGCCUUUGGGUUCUUUGAAGAGUCUCUUACGUCUUUUUCAAGGCGUUCAAGUACUUUCUGCGCGACUUUUCAAAUCGAGUUAAGCUUGGAAAUCGCUCUACAGCUCCUAGAAGGGCCUGGAACCGGGGAUCAAGAUACUCACGAAAAUUCUAAGAAAGCUCUGAAAAACUCCAAUAGUUUGGAGUUUCACUUGUAGGGUCCAAAACGCCUUUUCGCACUUUCCCGAAGUUUUAAUUUUUUUAGAGCUUUCGAAAGCGUUAUGUGCCCUUUCCAAGUUAGAUGAACCUAAAAAGCGCUUGAUAGUCCCUGGAAGGCUUUUGAAUGUGGAAGUGAAGAAGGGCUGGGAAACUUUGAGAAAGCAUAGUAUGCUUACGAAGUUUCUAUACCUAAUAACUCUGGAAAAUUCCAAUUUCCUGAAAACCCCUACAAAAUAUUCCAAAGCUUUCUAGUGCUUUUCAGGAUCUAAUAUGUUCCUUCAAAAACUUUCAACUGUACCAUUCCCAGAACUAGGAGAGUCUAGAAAGCGCUUACAACUUCCUAAUGAACCCUAGAAAGUACCCAGAGCAACUGUGGAAAAAAUCUAGGGGGCCCUGUGAAGAGUGUAGAGAGUUCAAAAGGAAAGGAAGUAAAGAAUACCUGGGCGAGGUUUAAAAUUCUCGAAAAUGCAAUGGUAUAAGCUCAAAAUGAUCACGGAAGUUCUAGAAAAGCUCUAGAAAGCUCAUCUGCUUUUAAAUUCCACCAAUAACGCCCUGGAAAGGAUUUAGAAGGAUUUCUAGUAGCUUGGUAGCGUUUUCCAAACUCUCUUAUUUUUUCGGGAACUUCCGAAGGCUUUCUUUGCCCUUUACAUAGUUACAUAAACCUAAAAAGCGCUUGAUUGUGCAUAUAGUGCAUCAAAAAUCCUGGAAAGUAGUAUAGGAGGCACUUUUUAAACGCUUUCCUAAGAUUUUUAGUGUUUUAUAGAGUCUGUUGCGUUUUUUUUGGGGUUUUAGAAAGAUUUCUGUUCCCUUUCCAAAGAUAGACAGUCCUAAAAUCUCUGAAAAAGGCUAGGGCCCGGAGAAAGGUUCCAGAAGUACAUAUAAAGCGCUGUUAUUGGCACAAAAUCCUUACGGGUGUUCUAGCGCAACUUUGGAAAACUCUACCGCUUUAAAAUGCCAUUGAUAAAGCUCUGGAGAGUACACAGACAGCACUACUCCCUGGAAGGGAUGCAGUAAAGUUCUGAAAUGAAUUUCAAAAGUUCACGACGGGAUGGAAAACCCUUCUGGCGGCUCAAAAUCCUCACGAACGUUCUAGAAAAUCCUUGAAAAACUGCACUGCAUUAGAAUAGAGGCUGUAGUAAGCACUUUCCAGCGCUUUUCAUAACCUUUUACGUCUUUCAGAGAGCGUCCGUAGCCCUUUUGUACCAUAUCCAAAACUAGGCGAACCGGGAAAGGGCUCCACAAUACCUAGAUAAUUCACCAAUGUGUUACAGGGCACCUACAAUUCCUGAAAUGAGUUUAGGAGGGGACUCGAACACUGGAAAACGCUCAGAAACGCUCUGGAUUUUCCAGAGUUUUAAAACUGCACCCUGCACAGAAUCCAGAAGGGGCCGUUUGCUUCCUUUCGAAAGCUGGAGGAAUCUAGAAACCACUAAAUAAUGCCUAGAAGGGCGUCAAAAAUGACUCUGGCAAGGGUUCAGGAAUCUCAAUUACAAAACGCUAGUAUGAGCGAAAGCUCUGAAAACAUCCUCUUUAGAAAUCAUGCGACUCGUUUGAGAGCCCUGGAAAGUGCAUAGGGAAAUGCCUACGAAAGUGAAAAGCUCUAGAUAACCCAGUUGCCUUGGAAAGCUUUCAUUCUGUCCAGAGUUUUUUUAUCGCUAGAAGCACAAGAGAAGGGUUUUACGGAUCGUGGGUCAGAAUUAAGCAAGGGUUGGAACCGGUUCCGCACUAUUUAAGUAGAAUGAUUGUUUAAGGGUUCCGGUACCGGUUUCGGUUCUGUGGCUUCAGUAAUUUUCGGUUCCAUUUUUUUACGGUUCCUACAUACAUAAAUAAAAUUAUU